UACGAAGGGGGCUAGCGUUGCUCGGAUUGACUGGGCGUAAAGGGCGCGUAGGCGGUUCGUUCAGUCAGACGUGAAAUUCCUGGGCUCAACCUGGGGGCUGCGUUUGAUACGUGCGGACUUGAGUUCGGAAGAGGGUCGUGGAAUUCCCAGUGUAGAGGUGAAAUUCGUAGAUAUUGGGAAGAACACCGGUGGCGAAGGCGGCGACCUGGUCCGAUACUGACGCUGAGGCGCGAAAGCGUGGGGAGCAAACAGG
rnacentral:rRNA from 1 species